rnacentral:rRNA from 1 species
UACGUAGGGGGCAAGCGUUGUCCGGAAUCAUUGGGCGUAAAGAGCGCGUAGGCGGCCCUGUAAGUCCGCUGUGAAAGUCAAGGGCUCAACCCUUGAAUGCCGGUGGAUACUGCAGGGCUAGAGUCCGGAAGAGGCGAGUGGAAUUCCUGGUGUAGCGGUGAAAUGCGCAGAUAUCAGGAGGAACACCGGUGGCGAAGGCGGAUCUCUGGGCCUUACCUGACGCUGAGGCGCGAAAGCUAGGGGAGCGAACAGG